rnacentral:rRNA from 1 species
CCUACGGGUGGCAGCAGUGAGGAAUAUUGGUCAAUGGGCGGGAGCCUGAACCAGCCAAGCCGCGUGAGGGAAGAAGGUACAGCGUAUCGUAAACCUCUUUUGUCAGGGAACAAAGGCGGGGACUAGUCCCCGGAUGAGGGUACCUGAAGAAAAAGCAUCGGCUAACUCCGUGCCAGCAGCCGCGGUAAUACGGAGGAUGCGAGCGUUAUCCGGAUUUAUUGGGUUUAAAGGGUGCGCAGGCGGCGAGUUAAGUCAGCGGUAAAAUUUCGGGGCUCAACCCCGACAAGCCGUUGAAACUGGCUUGCUAGAGUGGGCGAGAAGUAUGCGGAAUGCGUGGUGUAGCGGUGAAAUGCAUAGAUAUCACGCAGAACUCCGAUUGCGAAGGCAGCAUACCGGCGCCCAACUGACGCUCAGGCACGAAAGCGUGGGUAUCGAACAGGAUUAGAUACCCCUGUAGUC